AGGAUAGUAGUUAAUUAUAACAUUUGGUUUGCAUUCAAAAAGUAUUGAAUAUAUUCAAUCUAUCUUA
rnacentral:tRNA from 1 species